rnacentral:rRNA from 1 species
GAUGAACGCUGGCGGCGUGCCUAAUACAUGCAAGUCGAGCGACCGGACGAGGAGAUUGCUCCUCUGCCGUUAGCGGGUGACGGGUGAGUAACGAGUGGAUCGCCUACCUCUUAUACUGGGGUAACUACGGGAAACCGGAGCUGCUAAUAGCGAAUACAUUGAACGGCAUGGUGCAAUAGUGCUAGGCGGCUUUGCCGUCUGUUAUAGAUGAUUCCGUGCCGGAUUAGCUAGUUGGUAAGGUAACGGCUAACCAAGGCAACGAUGCGUAGCCGACCUGAGAGGGUGAUCGGCCACACUGGAACUGAGACACGGUCCAGACUCCUACGGGAGGCAGCAGUGGGGAAUCUUCCGCAAUGGGCGAAAGCUUGACGCAGCAACGCCGCGUGAGUGAAGAAGGCCUUCGGGUCGUAAAGCCCUUUUAUUAGGGAAGAAAAAAAGUGUAUUAAACUAUGGACGUUUUGACGGUACCUAAACAGAAAGCCACGGCUAACUACGUG